CACGCAGGCGGUCAGGCAAGUUGGUGGUGAAAGCCCUCGGCUCAACCGAGGAAUUGCCCCCAAAACUGCUUGACUUGAGUCCCGGAGAGGGUGACGGAAUUCCCAGUGUAGCGGUGAAAUGCGUAGAUACUGGGAGGAACACCAGCGGCGAAGGCGGUCACCUGGACGGGUACUGACGCUCAUGUGCGAAAGCGUGGGGAGCAAACAGGAUUAGAUACCCUGGUAGUCC
rnacentral:rRNA from 1 species